CCUUCUUCCAUCCUUGUCUAAAAGAAAAAAACAUUCUUCCAUCCCCACGGCCGGCCGCCCCCUCGCCGCCGGCUGCUGCCAGCGCAGUCCGGCGUCUCGCAGCGGUGGUCACCAGACUCCGGCCCCAUCAUCGCCUCCCUCCUCUGCUCGCCCGCCCCCACUCCACGCCUUCCCUUGCCGCCUGCCGCCUGCCGCCUGCCGCCCGCUCGACUCCCUCCUCUCCUCGCCGCGCCCGCCCACGCCCGCACCCCUCCUCUGUCCUCUCCCUCCCUGAAUGCCACCGCCUCCCGCCCUCCUCCGUGCCAAGCAAGCCUCUUUCGCGCCCCCCACUCUUCCCCCGCCCAGGCAGCCGGACUCUCUCCUGGCCUCCUCCCUCGCCUCCCUCGCCGCGUUCAACUCCCCCCUUGGCCGCGCUCGCCCGCGUCUGUCCGUGACCUCCCUGGCAUGACCCAGCUCUUUUCCUCCAUGCGGGACGCCACCGUCCGGCCCGGCGUUGUCACGCCCGCACACUCGUCAUGGGGCUCUGCCAAGCCGGCCGCGCUCAGGGCGCUCGACGGAAUGCCCGGCCCAAACUCGGGCGUUCGCCCGGCUCGGAUGUCGUCAUUCAUGCCGAACACGGUCGUGGAUGGGGUGUGCGAGAGCGGGAGGAUCCAGGCGGCCGUUGCGUUCAUGGAGGACUGCUGAUUGGCUGACGUUGCGGCCGACGGAUCCUGCCGUGCGGGGAAUGUGACUGCUGCUUGGCUUUCCAGGCGGCGGAGAGGAUGGAGAAGGAGAGCUUUCCUCCACAAUAGAAAUGUGGUUUUGUUCCAUGAGAUGCAGUCAUGCAUUUUACCAUGAUCUUGGGAUUCUUUAGCAGGAGGAAUAGGUCACAACUUACAAGAGGCUUGGUGUACUGUACACCGUGUACACCUACAAUAAUACUUUGCUGUCUGGUUAAGUAGGAGAUUUCUCAACUGUGUAUGAGUUAUUGGGGAAGAUGAUGGAUGAUGGUUGCCUGCAAGUACACGGAUAUUGACCAAGUGGUCUAUGGAUGAAUCUGCAAAUGCAGGGAGUAGCAUAUGAUGGAUGUAAUUUUCUGUUGCAUCAAAAAGCAAGUUAACUCGGCGUAUGCAGUAGCAACUACCAACCAUUCAUACUGGAGCAAAGGUCCAAGUAUAGAUUGGACAAGAAGGGUGAUGCCCUUUUUUUCUGCCAACGCUGGAAGUGAGCCUGCUGCAGAUUGACUUGAUAGGCCUUCCAGAACGCUGAGUGGCCUGAAUAUUUCGGCAGAAGAUAAUCAGGUCCAUAACAAAGAUGCAAGAAGUCUAUCUAAAGCAAUUGCAUCUACAGGUCCAUCACACCAAACCGUUGGAAAGAUUCUAUAAAGUUCAAAUUUACCAUGCAUGUUCAGUGAACAGGUGCAGAAUUGGACAAACAUAAAUAUAGCUAGUGAAUGGUACACGUCUUAAAAGGAAAGGAGACCUCAUCAUCCUCAUCGGCGAGGAUCUUGGAGCAGUUGAAGCAGACGCAGCGCAUGAUGGAGAGCACGGUCUUGAUGAAGCCGAUGUGGAACAUGGGCUUUGCGAGCUCGAGGUGGCCGAAGUGGCCCGGGCAUUCGGCCAUCCCGGCCAUGCAUGUCUCGCACUUGGUCCUCCGGUCAAUGGUGCCCAGACGAGGGUCGCUCAGACCACCGGGCUUGGGCUUCCCCUUCUCCAUGGUCUCUGCAUGCUCUAUCACCGCCACCGACAUUUGCCUCUGCAAGCAAGCAGUUCAACACAGAAUCUGUCAAAUUCGAUUCAUCCUAAAAUUUGUGAUACCUACACAGUACUGACCACCUGCCAUCAUUACAACGGUCAAUGUUCAUUCAAACCCAGCCAAUAAAUUGUUAAACCCUGCCAAAUCCGUCUUAUUACAUGUACUCUGCAAGUAACAACCAGACCUGUGUAGCUUUUAUUCAAACUUGUAUUGAGCAUGGCCCAAUAAAGAGCUAGCAUACUGUAAUAAAAUCAUGUGUAGUGCUGGUACUACACAAAACCGUGCAAACUGCCAAGCUCAGAGUUACCAAAUAACUGACAGCAGUUAAUAAGAACAUUUAUUAGCAUUU